rnacentral:lncRNA from 10 species
GUCCGCGGAUCGGCGCUGCGAGCCCCGCGGCUGCCUGCGGGACACCUGAGCGCGGAGGGUGCGGCACCUUGGCACCUUGACCCUGUGGCAGGGACAUCUCGGCCCAGGAAAGAAUGAGGUUUAGGCACGGCCUAACCACCUAAGUGAGGGCACUGAAGCUGCCGGGGGAAGGGCAAGGUCCGCGUUGCAGAGCCCAAGCCCAGUGGCGCAGGAUUUGUUUUGGUCUCAGUUUGCUUCAUCUCUGGAAUGGAGAUGGUUUCCUAUGUGAUCAUGAAAAUUUCUCCCAGCUCUGAAGACCUUUUAUUUUGUAAGAAUCAUUGUGAAGGUAUGGGCUUGGCAAAUGAAUGGAAAGAUGAGCAAUGGGAGAGGAAAGAAUUGAAGAGGGCUGUGAGGUUUGAAGAAUGGGAUCCAUCCAGGAAAGAGCCUGCCCACUUGACUCUUCUACCUGUAGCCUCUCCAG